UCGCCAUUUAAAGUGGUACGCGAGCUGGGUUUAGAACGUCGUGAGACAGUUCGGUCCCUAUCUGCCGUGGGCGCUGGAGAAUUGAGGGGGGCUGCUCCUAGUACGAGAGGACCGGAGUGGACGCAUCACUGGUGUUCGGGUUGUCAUGCCAAUGGCACUGCCCGGUAGCUAAAUGCGGAAGAGAUAAGUGCUGAAAGCAUCUAAGCACGAAACUUGCCCCGAGAUGAGUUCUCCCUGAGACUUUAAGUCUCCUGAAGGAACGUUAAAGACGAUGACGUUGAUAGGCCGGGUGUGUAAGCGCAGCGAUGCGUUGAGCUAACCGGUACUAAUGAACCGUGAGGCUUAACCUUACAACGCCGAAG
rnacentral:rRNA from 1 species